rnacentral:misc_RNA from 1 species
AACGCACCUUGCGCUCCUUGGUAUUCCGAGGAGCAUGCCUGUUUGAGUGUCAGUAAAUUCUCAACCCCUCCAGUUUUUGUUGCUGGGUAUGGGGCUUGGAUCUGGAGGGUGUUUGCCGGCCUUCAAAGGUCGACUCCUCUGAAAUGCAUUAGCGGAACUGUUUGCAAUCCAUCACAGGUGUGAUAAUUAUCUAUGCCAGUGGACUGCUUUCUGUUGUUCAGCUAACAACCGUCCGGAAGGACAAUCAUGAAUAUUUGACCUCAAAUCAGGUAGGACUACCCGCUGAACUUAA